UGCGGAGGAUCAUUAUUGAAUUGAACGGGGGCGCUUGGUCGGGCCUGCACCGGUGGAGACGCCGUGCUGCGGUCUGCCUCGCGCCCUCUUCCAAACUCAAACCCCUGUGAACCUUUGGGAGGGAUGCGCCGAGUCCGGAGCGCCCUCCCGUUUUACAACCAACUCUGAUGUCUAUUUGAAUGUUGAGAUUCGGGGCAGCCCCGAUGUCUAAUCGAAAACAACUUUCAACAACGGAUCUCUUGGCUCUCGCAUCGAUGAAGAACGCAGCGAAAUGCGAUAAGUAAUGUGAAUUGCAGAAUUCAGUGAAUCAUCGAAUCUUUGAACGCACCUUGCGCCCUUUGGUAUUCCGAGGGGCAUGCCUGUUUGAGUGUCUUGAAAUCAUCAAGCCUUCGGCGCUCGUCGUCGCUGGGCUUGGACUUGGGGGCUUUGCUGCCGCUUUUGCGACGGCUCCCCUUAAAUGAAUCGGUCGGGCUAUCGUGUGCCGGUCCACGGGCGUUGUAUUACCCUCGUCCUAGGAUGGUGCUCGACUAGAAGGCCCUUCCUUGACCUGCCUCUGGAGCGGCGGUCAAAGGCGCUUGCGCCACUUGUGAUCUGACCUCAAAUCAGGUAGGACUACCCGCUGAACUUAAGCAUAUCAAUAAGCGGAGGAAAAGAAACUAACAAGGAUUCCCCUAGUAACUGCGAGUGAAGCGGGAAGAGCUCAAAUUUGAAAUCUGGCGGCUUUGCCGUCCGAGUUGUAUUCUGGAGAAGCGUUUUCCGUGCUGGACCGUGUACAAGUCCCUUGGAACAGGGCGUCAUAGAGGGUGAGAAUCCCGUCUUUGACACGGACUGCCAGCGCUCUGUGAUGCGCUCUCGAAGAGUCGAGUUGUUUGGGAAUGCAGCUCAAAAUGGGUGGUAAAUUCCAUCUAAAGCUAAAUAUUGGCGAGAGACCGAUAGCGAACAAGUACCGUGAGGGAAAGAUGAAAAGCACUUUGGAAAGAGAGUGAAACAGUACGUGAAAUUGUUGAAAGGGAAACGCUUGAAGUCAGUCGCGUCUUCUGGAACUCAGCCGUGCUUCUGCUAGGCGCAUUUUCCAGUUUGACGGGUCAGCAUCGGUUUCGGUGGGCAGACAAAGGCGCAGGGAAGGUGGCCGCUCCGGUGGUGUUAUAGCCCUGCGUUGUACGUGCCCGCUGGGACCGAGGAAUCCGGCUC
rnacentral:rRNA from 1 species